rnacentral:rRNA from 1 species
UACAGAGGUCCCGAGCGUUGUUCGGAUUCAUUGGGCGUAAAGGGUGCGUAGGUGGCGCUGUAAGUGGGGUGUGAAAUCCCGGGGCUUAACCCCGGAAUUGCACCUCAAACUACAUGGCUAGAGCAUUGGAGAGGGUAGCGGAAUUCACGGUGUAGCAGUGAAAUGCGUAGAUAUCGUGAGGAACACCCGUGGCGAAGGCGGCCCUCUGGCUCGACCCUGACGCUGGAGGCGACGAAGAACGUGGGGAGCGAACAGG